UCAUCUCUCUCUCCCUCUCUCUCUCUCUCUCCCUCUCUCUCCCUCCCUCUCUCUAUCUCAGUUUCUCUGUUCGUCCUCCUUGUCUUCUCACACUCCCUGUCCCUCCCUCUUCCCCACCUUCUCGGUUCAUCCCAUUUGCUACUGGAUGCUAAAUUGCGGUGCCUAGAUGAAAGGACAAUGAGAAAGGCAGGUUAAGUCGGGCUAACACAGACCAGAUCCACACAGGUGCUGCAGACUGACAGAGGACACCACACCGAUGGAACAAAAUGUUACACAAGUUGUUGCAUUAAGAGAGCCUCUGUAAAAAAAAGCCUGGCGGUGGGCGAGGGAGGACUCUGAUGACGGUGAGCUGUGUUGUCAGUGCUCCACAGCCUAGCAGGGCCUAGCGGGGCCAAAGAGCAGUGUGCCGGGGAGGGAGGGGAGUCCAAGGCAGGGCUAUUACAUCACCCCUAUCAGGGCUGAUUGGGCUGAGGGUCUGUGCAUGCGAGCGGGGCCCGCUCACUGGCCCAUAUGCCUUUAAUACAGGACCAGAUGUGGAGCUAACCCAACGCCCCAGCCAGUUCCACCGCCCCGCCCCCUGCUCCUCAAUGCUCUAAGCCAGCCGUAGCAUCCCGGGUCAUGCUUAGUAAAAAAAGGUUUCAUGGGAGCUAACUGGCAUCCUCAUAUGAUUGGGUGGAGAUGAUUUGUAUUUCAGAUGGCCUCCCCUCAGGAUUGUGUGUGUUUGUCUGUCUGUCUGUCUGU